CAGGAGAGUUCUACUUCAUUGAUUAACAAAAGCAGGGAUAUAAUUUUUUCAGCCUUUUUGAAAAGCCUGAAAUGUCAAGCCUUUUAAAGCAGAUUAUUGUGCCUCUGUGCAGUGAAUACAGCCAGAGUAACCUUUUGUCUACAAUUAAAUAUUCUAGCAUAAAUAUAAAAGAAAAUCAGAGAUGGGAAAGAUUGACUCACAAGAGAUUGGAGAGGUAGAUCCUCACACUGAUAGCGAAGCAGCAGCUUGCUUCUAAUUAAAUAUGCGGCUGACUCUCCAUGCUCUCGCUCGCUAGCAGCCGCACAGAGGAGAAGCGGCUGAGGAGAGGAAGGAAGGAGUCUAUCACAUCAUCUCUCUGUCCACAGGCUUUCCUUGGGGCUUAUGAAGAAGAGGUCAGAAUUGAUCGCGAGAAUCCCAAAUUUUUGGGUAACAACAUUUUCACCCAUCCACAAGUGUCUGCACUGCUAGGGGAGGAGGACGAGGAGGCUCUGCAUUA
rnacentral:lncRNA from 1 species